AUGCUAUUGCUUGGGCUUGGAAGCUUCACAGUGUUGCCUCUGCUGAGUAUCAGAGAUCAGUGGACAUAUGGUGCCUAUGGCCUGGCAUAUAUACCCAUGAGUCAAAGAUGCAGUGCAGUGGAAGGAUCAGUGAGAUGGUUCACCCGUAGCUGUUGGUUUGUUGGCCGGUUGCAGUUGCAAGCAAGCCCCAGGUUGAGAACCUCAGCACCACCUUCCACAUGUUGGUUUUUGCUCCGCCUUCAAGCAACACCAUCCAUUCCAAGUGACACCUCUGCACUAUCAGGUAAGGUGUACAUUUCCAGGUUACUAAGCAGUACAAAAAAAAGACAGACCAAGUGCUAG
rnacentral:rRNA from 1 species